rnacentral:rRNA from 1 species
GGAUAAUAGGUGACAGCAUGGGGGGGAUUACGGAGGGGGCAAGCGGUAGGCGGUUUCACUUGGGUGAAAGAGUGUGUAGGCGGGCAGCUAAGUCCAAAGAGAAAUGUUUGGGCUCAACUCAGAAACGGCCUUGUAUACUAGUUGUAUUGAAUAUCUUUGAGGUUGGCGGAAUAUGUCAUGUAGCGGUGAAAUUCUUAGAUAUGACAUAGAACACCGAUUGCGAAGGCAGCUAGCUAAACGAUCAUUGACGCUGAGGCACGAAAGCGUGGGGAUCAAACAGGAUUAGAUACCCUAGUAGUC